ACCCAUUUAACAAGUCCCAAAUAGGACGAAACGCGCGUCCUGGAU
rnacentral:hammerhead_ribozyme from 1 species